rnacentral:rRNA from 1 species
CCUACGGGAGGCAGCAGUGAGGAAUAUUGGUCAAUGGGCGCGAGCCUGAACCAGCCAAGUCGCGUGAAGGAUGACUGCCCUAUGGGUUGUAAACCUCUUUUAUAAGGGAAUAAUGUGUGCUACGUGUGCCAUUUUGCAUGUAUUUUAUGAAUAAGGAUCGGCUAACUCCGUGCCAGCAGCCGCGGUAAUACGGAGGAUCCGAGCGUUAUCCGGAUUUAUUGGGUUUAAAGGGUGCGUAGAGGGGUUGUUAAGUUAGUUGUGAAAGUUUGGGGCUCAACCGUAAAAUUGCAAUUGAUACUGGCAGCCUUGAGUACAGAUGAGGUAGGCGGAAUAAGUGAUGUAGCGGUGAAAUGCUUAGAUAUAACGAAGAACUCCGAUAGCGAAGGCAGCCUACUAGACUGUCACUGACAUUGAUGCACGAGAGCGUGGGUAGCGAACAGGAUUAGAUACCCUUGUAGUC